rnacentral:rRNA from 1 species
AUUGAACGCUGGCGGCAUGCUUUACACAUGCAAGUCGAACGGCAGCGCGGGCUUCGGCCUGGCGGCGAGUGGCGAACGGGUGAGUAAUGCAUCGGAACGUGCCCAGUAGUGGGGGAUAGCCCGGCGAAAGCCGGAUUAAUACCGCAUACGACCUGAGGGUGAAAGCGGGGGACCGACAGGCCUCGCGCUAUUGGAGCGGCCGAUGUCGGUUUAGCUAGUUGGUGGGGUAACGGCUUACCAAGGCGACGAUCCGUAGCUGGUCUGAGAGGACGACCAGCCACACUGGGACUGAGACACGGCCCAGCCUCCUACGGGAGGCAGCAGUGGGGAAUUUUGGACAAUGGGGGCAACCCUGCUCCAGCCAUGCCGCGUGCGGGAAGAAGGCCUUCGGGUUGUAAACCGCUUUUGUUCGGGAAGAAAUCCUCUGGGCUAAUACCCCGGGGGGAUGACGGUACCGGAAGAAUAAGCACCGGCUAACUACGUG